GAUGAACGCUGGCGGCGUGCCUAAUACAUGCAAGUCGAGCGGACGGACGAGAAGCUUGCUUCUCUGAUGUUAGCGGCGGACGGGUGAGUAACACGUGGAUAACCUACCUAUAAGACUGGGAUAACUUCGGGAAACCGUAGCUAAUACCGGAUAAUAUUUUGAACCGCAUGGUUCAAAAGUGAAAGACGGUCUUGCUGUCACUUAUAGAUGGAUCCGCGCUGCAUUAGCUAGUUGGUAAGGUAACGGCUUACCAAGGCAACGAUGCAUAGCCGACCUGAGAGGGUGAUCGGCCACACUGGAACUGAGACACGGUCCAGACUCCUACGGGAGGCAGCAGUAGGGAAUCUUCCGCAAUGGGCGAAAGCCUGACGGAGCAGCGCCGCGUGAGUGAUGAAGGUCUUCGGAUCGUAAAACUCUGUUAUUAGGGAAGAACAUAUGUGUAAGUAACUGUGCACAUCUUGACGGUACCUAAUCAGAAAGCCACGGCUAACUACGUG
rnacentral:rRNA from 1 species